CAACAAUACAUAUCAAAGUGUCAAACAAAUUAAAAUACAAGAGAAAUUGAACGAAAAUGGAAUCUAACGAGGAAGAAGCCAAAAUAGCAAUGGAUAUGGCUGAGAAGAAACUUUCGGAUAAUGAUUACAAUGGAGCGAAGAUAUGCGUUGACAAGGCUAAGAAUUUGUAUCUAAACCUUGAUGGUUUGAAGUUAACUCCGUUAUGAGAUUCAUUUCUCCUUCUUCUAUGUUGAUGAUUCUCGGUUCCUAUCUCAGUUUGAUCGAUGAAUGGAAUUGUACAUCUGUGGGAACUGAGUUAACAAUGCUAGGAGGAUUUUGUUGAAUAAAUAAACGCUUAUAACUGAGGUCUCUGACUA